rnacentral:rRNA from 1 species
AUGUGGACUGAUGAGCUCAAAGUUUAUGUUCAUACCGCUGCUUUUCACUAUAUCUUAGAUAAUGUAGUCCAUGUGGCCUCUGGGGUCAACUUUUGCCUCCUUUGUAUAUAUGGUGACCCGUAUCAUAGGCAGACUAAUGCCAUCUGGGACCAAGUGGCUGCUUUUGUAUAUGAUAAUCUAGGUAAACCCAUGAUGUGUAUGGGAGACUUGAAUGAUAUCUUGUAUGAUGUUGAUGGUUGUAAUGGUAAUAUCAACUACUAUCAGAUGCAUGCUUUCCGAUCCUUGGUUAAAAAUUGUGGCUUGUUUGACAUUGGCUUUAGUGGUCCUGCUUAUACUUGGUGUGGUAGACAGAAUACUUCUAGUCCUAUUCAUAGACGCCUCGAUCGUUGCUUGGUUAAUUCUGAUUGGUGCUCUUAUUAUCCUAAUACCAAAGUUUUGAACCUUCUCAUCAUUCUCAGUGAUCAUGCUCCUAUUUUAAUUUCAACUGAGAGUAAAUUUGUGAAACCUAAGCAAACUUUCAAAUUUGAGAAUUGGUGGCUCAUGGAGAAAGACUUUCAGUCUUUUGCCAAAAACACUUGGAAUGCUAGUUCUUUCUCUUCUUUUGCAGCGAAAUCAUCUUCUUUGGAAGGUUCUUUAAAAAUUUGGUGCAAGAAGAAAAAAAACUUCAACACAACCUAG